UACGUAGGUGGCAAGCGUUGUCCGGAAUUAUUGGGCGUAAAGCGCACGUAGGCGGUCAUUUAAGUCAGGGGUGAAAUCCCGAGGCUCAACCUCGGAACUGCCUUUGAUACUGGGUGUCUUGAGUAUGGUAGAGGUUGGUGGAACUGCGAGUGUAGAGGUGAAAUUCGUAGAUAUUCGCAAGAACACCAGUGGCGAAGGCGGCCAACUGGACCAUUACUGACGCUGAGGUGCGAAAGCGUGGGGAGCAAACAGG
rnacentral:rRNA from 1 species